rnacentral:rRNA from 1 species
AAUCAACGCUGGCGGCGUGCCUCAGACAUGCAAGUCGAACGAUUAAAGCUCUCUUCGGAGAGUGUAUAGAGUGGCGCACGGGUGAGUAACACGUAAGUAAUCUGCCUUUGAGUGGGGAAUAACCCGGGGAAACCCGAGCUAAUACCGCAUAAUGCAGCGGCACCGCAAGGUGACAGUUGUUAAAGCGAGUAAUCGCGCUUAAAGAGGAGCUUGCGGCAGAUUAGCUAGUUGGUAAGUAACGGCUUACCAAGGCUACGAUCUGUAUCCGGUCUAAGAGGACGGUCGGACACACUGACACUGAAUAACGGGUC